AUGACAACAUGCACGGGCGUGGCACCAGCAAUCUUGAAAACUGCGUUAGCGAAGAGUACAGACGUGCUAAGGUUGAACACGGAAGGUGUGCUGUACAAACCCAAUAAGAGGGACACCAAUGACGAAUUUGAUAAUGUAGGUGAAGGAGUUGGGAUGGAGAAUGGCCAGUACAAGUCAUCAAAAUAUUGGCCAGAUAUUGAUUCACCUACCGACGUGGAGCUAGUAACAUCUUUCAUGGGUUUCAAUGAUACCUACGUGCCCGUUGAUGACACGGGUGCUCCGGCGACGACACCGGGUAGAGGUGACGCUACUGAUCCUUUCAUUAUAGACGAUAAUGCAAAGUCUCCUUGUUCGUCAUCAACUGUAUGUACAAAAGAGUUUCCGUCCAUGUCCUGA
rnacentral:rRNA from 1 species